UUUUUUUUUUUUUUUAGUUGGUCCUUUAAUCACUAAUGACAGCUACUGCUUAUACAUUGACAAAUAGAGAACAAUAAAGCCAUAUUACUCUGAUCUUGUCAUCUGCUUGCUCAAAAACUUCUAAUGGCUGCCAAUCUUCUACAGAAUGAAGUUCAAACUCCUCACUAUAAUUCUCCAAGUCCCUCAAGAAGGCUCCAGCCUUCUCUUCACUUUCUCCCCCACUGCUCCUUUCAUGUAGCUCAUAAAACACCACAUUGGACAAUUGGGGAGUCUAUAAAUGCUAACUUCUUUUUCCGUUCAUCGGAUCCUUGUUCACAGAGUAGUUUAAUCAGAAUGCUUUUCUCAUCACCUUGCCCUGUUGACAUGCUACCCCCCCAGUCAAAAUCCAUCCCAAAUGCUACUCAUUGAUUCAUCCAUCCACUCAGGAUUUUUAUUUUAUUUUUAAUUAUUUUUUUAAGAUUUCAUUUAUUUAUUCAUGAGAGAGAGAGAGAGGCAGAGACACAGGCAGAGGGAGAAGCAGGCUCCAUGCAGGGAACCUGACGUGGGACUCGAUCCCAGGACCCCAGGAUCAUGCCGUGGGCCAAAGGCAGGCGCUAAACCCCUGAGCCUCCCAGGGAUCCCCCACUCAGGAAUUAUUGAUUGAGAACCCCACUAAGUGUCAGUCCUGGCUAAUAGCAAGAUGAAUGAGAAAUGUUUUUACGUUUAAGGAUUUGCAGCCUUAGUCAAAUGUGGAGGGAGCAAUCUGAUGAACUAUUUCUCUGAUUUCUCCAGGUGAUCAAAAUAAAUCUUUAUUUGCCAAGUCCCUAGGAGAGCUGGGGUGGGGGUAGGGGGGAGGGUAAGUGUUGGGUAGGGGGCAGACAUACAGUAGGUGCCAGAUACUUAAACUUGCUUGUUUGCUUAGUUAUUGUGUUGUUUAUUUGCAUCUCUGUUAUGGCACUUCACGGUUUUGCAUUCAUAAACCAUUGUUGUUGCUGUUGUUUUUUUUUGCUGCACACCCAUUUCCUCUACCAGAGAGCAAAGGUCUUGGUUUAACUGUUUCUGUGUGCUUCCGUUCAUAGUGCCUCCCACACAGGACAGAUCCUAAAUGUUUGCUGAAUGUAAGUGAAUUAAAACAAGGAGAAGAAAAGGCAAAAGGUGGAGGAAAGAAGAGCUUUGAGGCCAAAGUUGUCCAUUAAUUUCAGUUUGAGUGUUUUUGACUCUACUGUUUCCUCCAGGUUACUAAAGCAAAUUUAUCUGAGCAAAUAAGCUUCCAUAUUUACAUUUCUUUGAACCCUAAUUUGACAUGCAAAUAAGCCACUAACUAGAGCUGGGCUUCAAUCAGCUGUGUUUAAACAGAAAUCCCCAUAGCUAUUCUUGGAAAGAAGCUAGCAUUAGCCAGAGCAGGCAACAAUGACAGCCACUGCUGCGAAGGGCACCCAUCCUCCAUGUUCUCUGAAGUUCCCUAUGCACCCGGUCCAGAGCCUCUUUCCCUGAGAUUAGACUCUGAGGGCUGAAAGCAUCCUAAAGUCCUUAAAAGCCCCCUGGUCCAGCUCUCCCAGGCCCUCAGCUGACAUCCCCUCUGCUAGUGGCAUUCAGCUUCCCUCGGCACACCACCAGGGACAGGAUGCUCAUUAUCUGGUAAAGGUGCUCUCAGUCUCCACAAAGCCUUUCUCAUUUUGAGCACAAGAAAUUUGACUCCUUGUAACUUCAUUGCUGCUGGAGCCAAACAGAAGGAGAUUGCUCUCCUCCAUAAAACAGCACUUCAGACAUCCGAAUACAGCAAUCGGAAUCUUUUUUGCUUAGCUUCAUAGUACGCAUUCUCAUCCUCCUCAUCGUCUUUACCCUGCAGUGAUUCUCAACCAUCUCAUAUCAUUCUUUCUUUUGCUUGAAUCUGCCGAGCUCACUUUUCCUUGGAUGGCUUUUGCAUGCCACUCCCUUCUGAACGAUUAACUUUUGAGUUUAUCAUUCAGAUCUCAACUCAAAGGCCCCCUCUUCAGAGAUGCUUCAUCUCACAAUCCCAUCUGAAAGAGAACCACUCUCAUGCUACCUCCCCCUACAUAUGCCAGACGUUCUUCACCACAUUAACCUAUAUUUAAAAGCCAGAACUCACAGCUAUCUGAAACUGACUAGUGCCAUAGAGUCUGAUUCCAGUUUUUAUGUUUGAUCACUGACAGCUUAUAAAGUUCACCUCUCCCUCUUCUGCUCCACAUCUGGCCAAGCUGAUAAGAAAGCCUUCAGCAUUGGCGAGAGGUUCGAACCACGUAAGCUUCCACUUGUGUAUGAGAAUCCUCUUGGGGAUCCCUGGGUGGCGCAGCGAUUUGGCGCCUGCCUUUGGCCCAGGGCACGAUCCUGGAGACUCGGGAUCGAAUCCCACAUCUGGCUCCCGGUGCAUGGAGCCUGCUUCUCCCUCUGCCUGUGUCUCUGCCUCUCUCUCUCUCUCUCUCUCUCUCUGUGACUAUCAUAAAUAAAUAAAAAUUUAAAAAAAAAUAAAAAAAAAGAAGAGAAUCCUCUUGCCAUCCCUACCCCCUAGCCACCAUAGAAUCUCCAAACCAGUUUCAUUUCCUGACUUUCUCAAGCCAUUUCAGACUAGUUUGGGAAGUCUGUCCUCAUCUUCCCAGAGAGUCUAUUAUGUGAGUAAUAAAUCUUUUCAUAUCUUAUUGGUGUAUGUACAUCAUCGGCUUCAGUAAGAAGCAGCUUUGGGGUGGGAGUCCAUUCCAUUUCUAAAGACUCGCUACAACAUCUGGCUUAUUAAUUUGUUAGUUGUUCAUCUCCUUAGUAUCUUUAACACUGGAAUGGAAGCUCUGUUUUUCUACUAUCUCUGUGGGACACAGAAAGGUGCCUAUCUGAAGUUAGGGCUCAAAUAAAGAAAUGAUUCUGAAGGUUUUAUAAUAGUUUUAAGAGCCCCAAAUAAUGACUCCCAUUGCGAUUACUUGUAGUACCAGCAUGCUCAGAGCCAGGCACUGUUCUUAGUGCUUUAUUUGUAUUGACUCCUUUACUCCUCACAGCAGUCCUACACAUAUUUACCGCCAUUGUACAGAUGAAGCUGAGGUACAGGGAAAUUAAGUCAUUUACUCCAAAUCAUAUGACAAGCGACAGAGUUAGAAUUGGCAUGCAGGGAAUGAGGCCCCAGACAUGCUUCAAAGCACCUUACUGGUCUGUCUGCGACUACAGCUCUGCUGUUGCCAUGUGGAGUCCCUGCCAUGUCCCAGGACAUGUAAUUAUCUUGUAAGAUCCUCCCAAAGGCUUGGAGUUGAGUAUCCUAACCUCUAUUUGCGGAUGAGGAAACUAUAGCUCAAAGGGUUGGAAGACUCUCCCAGACAUGGCAGGUUGGCCCAUGAUUCCCCGGUUACUCCACAUCAAAGAGCACAGAGGGCUUUGAGGGCAUGAAAUUAGAAGCACAGAACAGACACCUGUGCUGAGAAAAAGGUUAGCUAGAGGCUUGUUUGAUAACUAAUAGCAAGGAUUUGGGGAAAUUGCUUGAGUCCUAUCUCCUACUGCACAUUAAAUCAAAAAGAAGGAUCCUUAUAAUUAACACUUAGCUGUUCAAAGGAACAUAAUUUCCCAGCACUUCUAUUGAUCCAAGGGAUUUUUUUUAACUUAAAAAUGUAACUUUUUCUUGUAAAAGUAAUAUAUGCUCACUGUGGAAAACUGAGAAAAUAGAGAAAAUUAUGAGAAGAUUAUGAAUGAUUCAUAUUCCCAUCAUCCAAUUAUAACUACUUAUUGCAGAUGAGUUUUCUUUUUAAAGAUGUAAAGUUGGAAAGGUCAAUUUUUAAAGACAUGACAUGGCUUUUGGUUAAAUUUUGACUUUGCUUCUAAUCAGCUGUGUGUUUUUGAGAAGUUAUUUUAUCUCUUUGAAUCUUGGUUUCUUUGCAGGAAACACCUACGUUAAUUCACCCGUCAAGAUGAUUUCUGAGAGUUCAAAAAGCAAGCAUAUAUGGAAACAGCAUGGUAAGCGGAGCAUAGUAUGGCCCCAGUGAGUGUUAAUUUUCCUUUUUUUCCUCAUUCCUUUGUGACUCUGAGCCCCACUGUGCUUUCAAUGAGUGAAGACAAUGGAUAUUUUCUUUCUCUUGUUCUAAACAUGUCACUAAUAAUCUAUUUGUUUCUAUUCUGAUACAGUUUCUGAACUGGUAGAGAAUAAAUUAAUUUCCUUGACCUGAAGGUUAAGAUGUUUAUUCUGUAAGUUUAUAUCAGUGCUAGUUAUUCUAGAAAGAUCUGAAGGUAUUUUUAAAAUUUGUUGUUCUUAAGUUUUAUUAGAAUAUUAGAAAAAAUUAGUUAAAAUGACAUGAAAAUCAGUUUUUAAAUUCCUUUUUAGAGGGGGUGGGGCAGAGGGAGAGAGCGAGAGAGAGAGAAUCUUAAGCAGGUUCCAUGCUAUUUGUGAAGCCCCAUCUCCCACAACCCUGAGAUCACGACCUAAGCUGUAAUUGGGUGUUGGAUGCUUAAUGGACUGAGCUACCCAGGCACUCACAAAAUCAGUUUUUAGAGUUACUCUCACAUAGGAAAGAAUAAUCAGAAUAAGGAUAUUAUUUGGAAAGUGUAUUAGAUAUUGUUAUACUGCAUCAGUUGAAAGCAGGCUGCAUAUGCCCUUGAUGAACAUAGUUUUUACUUUUUAUUGUUCACAUAUAUUGAGGAAAUAAGUUCAAAGUAACUAUAGCUCCUCUUAUUACUAGCCCACAAUCAAAAGGGAAGAGCAAAAUAAUAAUUAUGGCAAAUUUUGGUAAUGAAUGCUAGGGUAGAGAGUGAUACUCUGAAAAAGAUGCCUACACAGAUUGGAUAUUCAAGAAAAACUUCCUAAACAGGCCCUUGAACUAUAUGCAUUAAGAAUUACCUAGUAGAAAAAAAAAAGGGGCGAAGGACAUUCAGGCAGAAAAGAUAUGAGGAAGAUAUAUGGCUGUGAAAUGUAAUGC
rnacentral:lncRNA from 1 species